rnacentral:rRNA from 1 species
CUAUUAUACCUGUUGCUUCGGCGGCGCCCGCUAGGGUGCCCGCCGGUCUCAUCAGAAUCUCUGUUUUCGAACCCGACGAUACUUCUGAGUGUUCUUAGCGAACUGUCAAAACUUUUAACAACGGAUCUCUUGGCUCCAGCAUCGAUGAAGAACGCAGCGAAACGCGAUAUGUAAUGUGAAUUGCAGAAUUCAGUGAAUCAUCGAAUCUUUGAACGCACAUGGCGCCUUCCAGUAUCCUGGGAGGCAUGCCUGUCCGAGCGUCGUUUCAACCCUCGAGCCCCUGUGGCCCGGCGUUGGGGAUCUGCCACGGCAGGCCCCUAAAACCAGUGGCGGACCCGAUGGGCCCUCUCCUUUACGUAGUAGCAUUCGCCUCGUAUUGGGAGUCCUCGGCGUCCUGCCUCUAAACCCCCCACAAGCCCGCUUCGGCGGCA